rnacentral:rRNA from 1 species
AGUGAACAAUUAAACGGCCGCGGUACCCUAACCGUGCAAAGGUAGCGUAAUCAUUUGUCUAUUAAUUGUAGACCAGUAUGAAAGGCAAAAUGAGGGUUUAUCUGUCUCUUACAAUAAAUCAAUUAAACUGAUCUCCUAGUAAAAAAGCUAGAAUCUACACAUAAGACCAGAAGACCCUGUGAAGCUUAAACUAAAUCAUUAAACCAUAUAAUACUUACUUUCGGUUGGGGCGACCUUGGAAAGAAAAAGAACUUCCAAAUAUUCCAUACUAGGCCCACAAGCCUUACAACAGACCCAGUACAACUGAUAACUGAACCAAGUUACUCCAGGGAUAACAGCGCUAUCUUCUUCAAGAGCCCAUAUCAAAAAGAAGGCUUACGACCUCGAUGUUGGAUCAGGACAUCCUAA